ACCAGGAUGGCCUAGUGGUUAAGGCAUUGGACUUAAGAUUCAAUGGAUGUGUGCUUGCGUGGGUUCAAACCCCACUCCUGGUA